rnacentral:rRNA from 1 species
GCCUGCCCAGUGAAAAUUUAACGGCCGCGGUACCCUGACCGUGCGAAGGUAGCAUAAUCACUUGUUCUUUAAAUAGGGACUAGUAUCAACGGCAUCACGAGGGUUACACUGUCUCCUUUCUCCAAUCAGUGAAACUGAUCUCCCCGUGAAGAAGCGGGGAUAUAAUCAUAAGACGAGAAGACCCCAUGGAGCUUUAAAUUUUACAGCAACUCAGUCAAACAAACCUUUAUAAUCCACAGAGCCAUGCAUGCCAAUUUUAGGUUGGGGUGACCGCGGAGCAAAAAUAAACCUCCACGACGAAAAGAACUAAAUCUUUAUCCAAGAGCUACAACUCUAAGAAUUAGAAUACUAACGACAAUGACCCGAUAAUCGAUCAACGGACCAAGUUACCCUGGGGAUAACAGCGCAAUCUACUUCGAGAGCUCAUAUCGACAAGUAGGCUUACGACCUCGAUGUUGGAUCAGGGUAUCCCAGUGGUGCAGCCGCUACUAAUGGUUCGUUUGUUCAACGAUUAAAACCCUACGUGAUCUGG